ensembl:lncRNA
UCUCUGCAUCUCUCUCUGUCUCUCUCUCAGGUGUCCAUGACUGCUCUGGAUAAUAUCGUAUUAAAUCACUCCAGGACAUAGAGAACGAGUAUAACUACACGUUUGCAAUAGAAGAACAGGCUGCCAUGAGACCCCGCUCCUAGGUGACAUCACUCUUGUAAACCCCGCCCACAGAUUACACCUGACUCCGGCGUUUUAUUUAUUAUCAUUAAAACCAUACAUUUAAACAAACUUUCUCCCAAACAGCAAACAUGUGCUAAUGAUGACCAAAGUCUGUUAAUGUGUACUUGUCAUGUAUGCUAAUUAGUCCUCAUUAAUGAAUUAAUUAAUCAUUAGUAAAUUAUGGCAUUUCUGUCUCGAAGGAUGAAAAAAGAGCCUUUUGAAUGAGAGAGACUUUAUUAUCGGUGCUUAAAACUGCUGCCUAUGUAGGUGCUGUUAAAGUUAAUAUUAUCAGUACACUUUUAAUAUUACAUUAUAUUUUAUAACCAACUACAGGCCAGCCGUGCUUUGGGUGAUUUCAGGAUCCGUCCUGCAACCGUUUUAGAAUCGUUUGAUUGUUUAGUUGUUGGUUUUUUGCCAGAUUGGGAAUUUCCAGUCCGUCAGGCUUACAUUUAACCACAUUAAUAUGGGAGAAAUAUGGGAGGAAAAAAAGCAGAUAUAUUUAAAUAAUCCAGUCACACAACCCCACAGGGUCAGGACACACUGAGCUGGUAAAGACGGCUCAGUGUUAUUCAUAAUUCUGUGACAAAUGAACAAAUUAUUUUCAUUAAUGAAGCAAAAGUCUGUUUUUAUUUUUACUGUGCUGAACUCUUUUGUGGUUGUUGUCAUGGUUACAUUAGAUUUAUCUACCUUAGAGACCUUUCAAUAUAACAGAGUAAUGCACAACCACCAGCCGGCCAAUCAGAAAUGAGUAUUUCCAGUGGCAUAUCACAAAAUAAACAUACAUAGUAAUGAGGUAUAUGAUGCUCGAUAUUAUCUCGCUUGUUAUGUACUUACUGACCGACUCGUUAAUCAGUCACUAAAUAUUCAUUUUAAAUGAAAAAUAGAGACGUAAACACUAAUCAAUCAGUUAGCUGGCCAGUGUUAGCGCUAGCGUCCAUUUUCCAUAUAUCAGGGCUGUCCAGUCUUCUCCAGAAAGGGCCGGUGUGGGUGCAGGUUUUAAUUCCAACCGAGCAGUAGCCACGCUUGAUGGUCUGUUGAAAGCCAAACUUGAUUCCACAGUUGAUAACACAGGUGGAAUCAGGUGUGGAUCCUACUUGAUUGAAAUGAAAACCUGCAGCCACGCCGGCCCUUUGCGGAUAAGACCAGACGCCCCUGCCAUAUAAAUGGUAUGGUAAGGUGAGAUUACUACCUAGAUUGGCCAAUCAAAAUGCCUGUGUAACUACCUUAAAAUAUGCUGUGAUGCCUGCUACAGUACCCUUCGAAACUAUUGGAACGACAAAGCCAAUUAAUUUGGGUUUGAAAUCAAAAGAUGAGAUGAGAAUUUAGGAUUUCAGCUUUUAUUUCCUGGUAUUUACAUCUCGAUGUGUUCAACAACAUAAAACAUAGAACCUUUUGUAUCAGGAAGUCUUCAAGUGGUGGAUUGUGAUGCUUCCACCCCUGCACUGUGGAGGUUGUUGAUGAUGGCACUGACUGUUGUUUUGGGGUUUUCUUCAUAGCUCUCACUAUGUUUGUCAUCAGAUGUUGUUGUUUUCCUUGGCCGAUGCAUUCGGUGUUUGUUCCUCAGUCCACCAGCGGUUUCUUUCUUUUCAGUACAUUUCAGGUUGUUGUAAAGCCUCUGAUUGAUUUUCCGUCUUUUCUCAGCUUCAAAACAACUUUCUGUUCUCCCAUAGACAGCUCUCUGAUCUUCGUGUUGGUUUAUCCUUUUUAACAGCAAAUCUUCAGUCUUCAUAGGUGAAACUGAAGGCUCAAAUUAAGAGUAGAUGUUCAGAGCUAUUUAUUGUUUAAACAAUCAAUCUAACAGGACCCACCUGGGUAACAAGAACAUGUUCCAGUAUUUUUGCUCGGUUACAAAUUGGGUUGUCUGAUAAAAAUUGUGCUGUGUUCUCUGGUGUUUAACACGUCUACAUAUAAAUACCAGGAAAUAAAAGCUGAAAUUCUAAACUCUCUUCUCAUAUUCAUGUUUGAUCUCAAACCCAAAUGUCUUGUCUUCAGAAAAAAACAACUGAACUGGCCUUGUGUUCCAAUAGUUUCGGAGGGGACUGUAUAUCAUUCGCAGUGACACUGAAGUCUGUAUUAUGCAAGUUUACAUAUAAUAUAUAUAUAUAUAUAUAUAUAUAUACACACACACACACACACACACACACAUACAUAUACACACAUACAUAUAUAUGUAUGUAUGUAUGUAUGUGUGUGUAUUUGCACUGCUGAGUGUAACUAGCCAGAUCUGUUGCACGGAGAUUUUGUGAGUUACAGAUUUAUUCUGAAAUAAUAAUUAUUACAGGUCAAGAAACCAACAAACAAGAAACAUAUACACAUCCCAUCUGGGUACAAGACUGCAGCCAGAAUUCCUUUUGAUUUAUUCUAUAUAAUAUCCAGUUAUUUUUAAGUGCAUAUCUUUUCAUUUAUUUUAAUUAAUAUACUAUGAUACACUGAUAUGUGAAGAACGUGUAGAGCAAAUACAGAAAACAAAAAUAGAAGAUAAAUAAUACACUCUCUCUCUCUCUCUCACACACACACACACACACACACACACACACACACACACACUUGUAUGUAUACCUAUGUGAAGUGUAUUUUAUCAUAUAUUUUGCAGUGAAGGAAAUGGCUAUUUUUGUUCUUUAGUGUACGUCACAUUUUAAUGUAUUAAGAAGGACUUAAGAUUCUUAUUCUGGAAUAUUUCUUAGUUUUUUAAUUGAAAACUGGUGUAAUCUAAAACCAAUUCAUAUAUAAAAUGUGUUUAUCGAAAAUCAAAACCUGAAUGAUGAUGCAUUUUAUUUGAUAUUCUCAGCUAUAACCUAUAUAUUUUUAAUGUUUAUAUCAGAUGGGUCCAACUAUUAUUUGAAUUACUUUUUUCUUUCUUUCUUUCUUUUUUUCUGGCCAAAAUACAGUAAAAUACAGCGUGUUUUAUGAAGUUUUAUAGAAUAUUAAAAUCCUGCCGUAGUGUUUGUGAGGUUUCUAAUACUUCUUAAUGCUUCUUUAUUUUGGUUGUGGUUUAUAAUUGCAUUUAUGAUGAUUUAAACAUUUGUAUUUAUUCUUAUACUUUUUUAUGUUAGGACCAAACUUCAAAGGGUGUUUAAAAUUUUUUUUUAAAAUAUCCAUAAUAAAUUUCUGUCUGUAUUAAAUGUACGUUUGUGCUUUGGAAUGAUAUUUCUCUGUUAGACUUUGUAAGGUUAAAUAAUAAAUUAUGAAGUAUAUAAUUAUUUAUAAUAAUUAUAAUAAGGACAUGAAUAAAUAAUAAUACACAUUUGGACGUUUAUUAUUUAUCAGUAUCAUGACAUCAUAAAAG